GGGUUGUGAGGUUAAGCGACUAAGCGUACACGGUGGAUGCCCUGGCAGUCAGAGGCGAUGAAGGGCGUGCUAAUCUGCGAUAAGCGCCGGUAAGGUGAUAUGAACCGUUAUAACCGGCGAUACCCGAAUGGGGAAACCCAGUGUGAUUCGUCACACUAUCAUUAACUGAAUCCAUAGGUUAAUGAGGCGAACCGGGGGAACUGAAACAUCUAAGUACCCCGAGGAAAAGAAAUCAACCGAGAUUCCCCCAGUAGCGGCGAGCGAACGGGGAGGAGCCCAGAGCCUGAAUCAGCAUGUGUGUUAGUGGAAGCGUCUGGAAAGGCGCGCGAUACAGGGUGACAGCCCCGUACACAAAAGCGCAUGUGCUGUGAGCUCGAUGAGUAGGGCGGGACACGUGGUAUCCUGUCUGAAUAUGGGGGGACCAUCCUCCAAGGCUAAAUACUCCUGACUGACCGAUAGUGAACCAGUACCGUGAGGGAAAGGCGAAAAGAACCCCGGCGAGGGGAGUGAAAAAGAACCUGAAACCGUGUACGUACAAGCAGUGGGAGCACAGGUUUACCUGUGUGACUGCGUACCUUUUGUAUAAUGGGUCAGCGACUUAUAUUCUGUAGCAAGGUUAACCGAAUAGGGGAGCCGGAGGGAAACCGAGUCUUAAUUGGGCGUUAAGUUGCAGGGUAUAGACCCGAAACCCGGUGAUCUAGCCAUGGGCAGGUUGAAGGUUGGGUAACACUAACUGGAGGACCGAACCGACUAAUGUUGAAAAAUUAGCGGAUGACCUGUGGCUGGGGGUGAAAGGCCAAUCAAACCGGGAGAUAGCUGGUUCUCCCCGAAAGCUAUUUAGGUAGCGCCUCGUGAAUUCAUCUCCGGGGGUAGAGCACUGUUUCGGCUAGGGGGCCAUCCCGGCUUACCAACCCGAUGCAAACUGCGAAUACCGGAGAAUGUUAUCACGGGAGACACACGGCGGGUGCUAACGUCCGUCGUGAAGAGGGAAACAACCCAGACCGCCAGCUAAGGUCCCAAAGUCAUGGUUAAGUGGGAAACGAUGUGGGAAGGCCCAGACAGCCAGGAUGUUGGCUUAGAAGCAGCCAUCAUUUAAAGAAAGCGUAAUAGCUCACUGGUCGAGUCGGCCUGCGCGGAAGAUGUAACGGGGCUAAACCAUGCACCGAAGCUGCGGCAGCGAACGUAUCACUUAAAGCGAUUCAGCGGGUUACGAUUGACGGAGCGAAGCGACGUCAAAGCGUAUACAAAGUCGAGUCGGUUUAAGGAUACGUUCGUUGGGUAGGGGAGCGUUCUGUAAGCCUGUGAAGGUGGCCUGUGAGGGUUGCUGGAGGUAUCAGAAGUGCGAAUGCUGACAUAAGUAACGAUAAAGCGGGUGAAAAGCCCGCUCGCCGGAAGACCAAGGGUUCCUGUCCAACGUUAAUCGGGGCAGGGUGAGUCGACCCCUAAGGCGAGGCCGAAAGGCGUAGUCGAUGGGAAACGGGUUAAUAUUCCCGUACUUGGUGUUACUGCGAAGGGGGGACGGAGAAGGCUAUGUUGGCCGGGCGACGGUUGUCCCGGUUUAAGCGUGUAGGCUGGUUUUCCAGGCAAAUCCGGAAAAUCAAGGCUGAGGCGUGAUGACGAGGCACUACGGUGCUGAAGCAACAAAUGCCCUGCUUCCAGGAAAAGCCUCUAAGCAUCAGGUAACAUCAAAUCGUACCCCAAACCGACACAGGUGGUCAGGUAGAGAAUACCAAGGCGCUUGAGAGAACUCGGGUGAAGGAACUAGGCAAAAUGGUGCCGUAACUUCGGGAGAAGGCACGCUGACACGUAGGUGAAGUGAUUUACUCAUGGAGCUGAAGUCAGUCGAAGAUACCAGCUGGCUGCAACUGUUUAUUAAAAACACAGCACUGUGCAAACACGAAAGUGGACGUAUACGGUGUGACGCCUGCCCGGUGCCGGAAGGUUAAUUGAUGGGGUCAGCGCAAGCGAAGCUCCUGAUCGAAGCCCCGGUAAACGGCGGCCGUAACUAUAACGGUCCUAAGGUAGCGAAAUUCCUUGUCGGGUAAGUUCCGACCUGCACGAAUGGCGUAAUGAUGGCCAGGCUGUCUCCACCCGAGACUCAGUGAAAUUGAACUCGCUGUGAAGAUGCAGUGUACCCGCGGCAAGACGGAAAGACCCCGUGAACCUUUACUAUAGCUUGACACUGAACAUUGAGCCUUGAUGUGUAGGAUAGGUGGGAGGCUUUGAAGUGUGGACGCCAGUCUGCAUGGAGCCGACCUUGAAAUACCACCCUUUAAUGUUUGAUGUUCUAACGUGGACCCGU
rnacentral:rRNA from 1 species